AGCUCCUGGAUGUAAGAUACGGUCAACUGAGCGAGAGCUUUGCGAUAAAAACCUAACCGCACCGUAUGUUACUCCUGAUGAAUGCAUCAGCAAGGGUUGUUGCUAUGACGACAUAUUUAUGUCGGAGCCAUCAGUUUGGUUCUACAAACCCUCGGGCAGAAGGUGGUGUUUCAAGCCCAAAAAUUAAUAGUAAGUGUAGCAUAAAGGUUCACGCAUGAAUACAAUUUAUACAUGGUAUAUAUGUUGAUGUCUGUAUUCUGUUUAAUUACAAGGAGAAACUAAAUAAUUAAGUAACUAUACAAUUAAUGUUAAUUUUCAUUAAUUCAUUAAUAUACUAAUUAGUAAUGAAAAUAUCAUUAAUCUCUUGCAGAAAAAUGGAACUAAACUUUCAUAAAUUUGGUGCCGAUGUGCCGUCUCUUUUUUGGGGUAAUCCAAUGAGCAAUAUUCUUAUCACUAUCACUGCAAUUUUGUUUUAUCUACAAUCUUGGACAAAACUGGUUGAGACAACCUUUCCUACACUUAUGAUAAAUUCAAUGUCAAAUCAUGUUGUGCAUACCUUUUUACUGAUGUUGUCGAUUUGCUCAUUCCAACAUAGAUUGUCAUCAAUCAGUACACCUAAAGUCUUUUUGGAAUAAACCUGUUUCAAUAGUUUCCCCCCGCAUGAUACGCUAGUAUUUUUUUGAAUUUUAGCUAAUCUUUGGCGGGUUCCAAUGAUCAUGUAUUCUGUUUUUUCAAUGUUUAAAGUUAGCUUGUUUGAAAGAAGCCACUGGUGAAUAUUUUUCAUUUCAGAAUUUAGUGCUUCCUCCAAAUUAUUAAUGCUAUCUGAACAUACUGUAAGAUUUGUAUCAUCUGCAAUGAUUAUCCCGUAUUAAAUUGUAUUACAGCAAGAAAAUGUGAAAUUUUGUAUUCAAUUACAACAAAACUUGACUUGACUUGCAUCGUCAGAAAGCUUACAAAAAACCGCAUGUAAGACUUUUAAACAGUUUUUUGAUUCUUUAAAUAGUCUUUGAGUUAUUACUGUUUUAAAUGUGAAAAUUGGACUAAAAUGUUGCAAUAAGGACUG